rnacentral:pre_miRNA from 1 species
AUACUUAUCACCUAGGAUCCUGUUAAAAUGCAGAUUCUCAUUCAAUAAGUCUGAGAUAGAGGACAAAAUUCUGCAAUUCUAACAAGCUCCCAGGUAAUACUUAU